AAUAUUAAUGUAAGAUUGUAAAAUAAACAGAGGAGUAUAAUUACCGAUGAAAUAGUUGUUUAGAGCAGUCAAAUAAGCGUCUUUUCCUAUUUUUCUUUCUAAACAAAACCCCAGACAAAACAACAGCCCAGAUCCUGCCUUACCCAAUAAUCACGAGAAAAUAUUAAUGUAUGCUUGUAAAAUAAAGAGUGGAGGAUAGUUAAAACGAAAAACACCGAUCUCUCAUAAAGCCCAUAGUACUUAAUGAUCAGUUCAAGCUUGUUUACGAAAGGGAACACACACACAUCCGCUAGACCCACGUAACGCAAUCGCUUUUAUUAGUUUCCAAGCACGGUAGAGGAAGCCAAACCAGUUAUCAUCCACGAACAUUAUCGGGAAGAAGAACAAUUACCCAGGAAGUUAAUAAGGAAGAAUGUUUAAUAAGAGUGCAAAGACGGGAACCUGCAAGGGGGUGGGGCCUGGAGCGGAAGUGGGCGUGGCCUCUCCGCUUGGGGUCUCGUCAGAGCGUUCCCGGCAACAGGUGGGGGAAUGCACGCCUGUUUUUUUUGCUUGCAUUUCCGAUACUCCGACAUUUUAUUUGAGUUUGUUUUUUUGUUUGUGUGUUGGUGUGUUGCAAAUGGUGGCUGCAGAAGAAGAAGGAGGAUGUGAUGGUUGGUCUUCUGAUAGAACAUUAUGGAGGAGGGAGAGAGAAACUGAGGCAGAAGAAGAGGAGGAGGAAAAGCAACACGGGAUAAGGAUAAGAAAUACACCUUACAUUGAAAUUAAUGAACUUAGACUUAGCCAGUGACUUCUCGACCGCCCCCGCAAUCACCACUAAGUAGUGUUCACCUUCCCCGCCGCCACCACCAUCACCACCGCCCCCGUCACUGCCCCCUCCGUCGCCAGGUAAGUCAACUAAUCAUACUAUCCAGGUGUCCGUGUGUGUAAUCAUCGUCUUUUAGUUUCUAUUAUAUUUUGUCUUUAUUUUUUUUGUUUUGUUUUGGUGUUCGUGUCUAUCUAUCAUUUACCUGGACGUGUUUUCUUUUUUCUUUAUUUUGUUUUUUGUUGUUGUCGUUUAUCGCCGUCUAUCAUAUCUGUAUCAUGGUUUUUUUUUCCUUUUGC